rnacentral:misc_RNA from 1 species
AACGCACAUUGCGCCCAUCAGUAUUCUGGUGGGCAUGCCUGUUCGAGCGCCAUUUCAACCCUUAAGCCUCAGUUGCUUAGCGUUGGGGGCCUACCACGGUAGCCCCUGAAAGCCAUUGGCGGAGUCGGUCGCACACUCCGGACGCAGUACAUCUAUUCUCGUCCUGGGUCACGGCCGGUCCCCUGCCGUAAAACACACCAAACUUUUCAAUGGUUGGCCUCGAAUCAGGUAGGAAUACCCGCUGAACUUAA